rnacentral:rRNA from 1 species
UGGCUCAGAUUGAACGCUGGCGGCAGGCCUAACACAUGCAAGUCGAGCGGUAGCACAGGAGAGCUUGCUCUCUGGGUGACGAGCGGCGGACGGGUGAGUAAUGUCUGGGAAACUGCCUGAUGGAGGGGGAUAACUACUGGAAACGGUAGCUAAUACCGCAUAACGUCGCAAGACCAAAGAGGGGGACCUUCGGGCCUCUUGCCAUCAGAUGUGCCCAGAUGGGAUUAGCUAGUAGGUGGGGUAACGGCUCACCUAGGCGACGAUCCCUAGCUGGUCUGAGAGGAUGACCAGCCACACUGGAACUGAGACACGGUCCAGACUCCUACGGGAGGCAGCAGUGGGGAAUAUUGCACAAUGGGCGCAAGCCUGAUGCAGCCAUGCCGCGUGUAUGAAGAAGGCCUUCGGGUUGUAAAGUACUUUCAGCGGGGAGGAAG